rnacentral:rRNA from 1 species
AUUGAACGCUGGCGGCAGGCCUAACACAUGCAAGUCGAACGGUAACACGAAGAAGCUUGCUUCUUUGCUGACGCGUGGCGGACGGGUGAGUAAUGUCUGGGAAACUGCCUGAUGGAGGGGGAUAACUACUGGAAACGGUAGCUAAUACCGCAUAACGUCGCAAGACCAAAGAGGGGGACCUUCGGGCCUCUUGCCAUCGGAUUUGCCCAGAUGGGAUUAGCUAGUAGGUGGGGUAACGGCUCACCUAGGCGACGAUCCCUAGCUGGUCUGAGAGGAUGACCGGCCACACUGGAACUGAGACACGGUCCAGACUCCUACGGGAGGCAGCAGUGGGGAAUAUUGCACAAUGGGCGAAAGCCUGAUGCAGCCAUGCCGCGUGUAUGAAGAAGGCCUUCGGGUUGUAAAGUACUUUCAGCGGGGAGGAAGGGAGUAAAGUUAAUACCUUUGCUCAUUGACGUUACCCGCAGAAGAAGCACCGGCUAACUCCGUG